GUCCCAGGGAUAAUUUAAAAGAAAUAAAAAACAAAUAUGGCUUAAUUAGACAGUAGUGCAAGGGAGGGGGACUAAACGCGGAAAUUAUCCAUUUAGAGAAAUCAUGCGCAUGAACCAAGUCAAAAAAGCUGUCUGUUCCUUCCCCCAAUGCCAUUUCCUUUUAUUAACCAUUAAAACCCCUUUUUUUUUUUUUUUCUGUCAAAAAACGUUUUAACCUUUAUUUUUUAAAAAAAGAAACCCAAAAAUGUUUUAUGAAAUUCCUUAUUCUCCCUUACUAUCCCUUUUGUCUUCCAGCCGAAAAGGCCACCAAUGGUUCACCCAACCGCCGCCGUGACUCCGGUGAGUCUCCCUUCGUCGACGCGAGCACGACGUGACUCCGGUGUUGUGAUGUCGUGGAGGAGUGCACGAUCGUGGGGCAUGGAUGCGCGAGAUAGAGGUCGCGUGUGGGCGUGCCGACGUGCGUGGGAAGCUGAUCAUGGGGGCUACAGCGCCAACUGCUUUCAGAACUCUUAGUGUUGUUGGAAUUUUAUGUUAUUGGCUUAGGCCAUUUAGGCCAGCUAGGGAGUUGGGCCACUACAAUUUGGGCUUGUUUAAAUUUGGGAUUGGUUUCUUUUUUGUUUUAAUUAUUUUUGCUUUUAUGUGUAUAUGGGCUAUAAUUGGGUAUUUGGACCGGGCAAAAAUUGGGUUUUACAAUUAUAAUUUGAAUUUAAUAAUAAAACAUGAAAGAAAUAUAAAAUAAAUGAAUCAAAUUCAUCAUCUUUUAUCA